rnacentral:rRNA from 1 species
CGGGGUGAGUAACACGUGGGCAACCUGCCCUGAAGCGGGGGAUAACAUCUGGAAACAGGUGCUAAUACCGCAUAACAACGAAAACCACAUGGUUUUCGUUUCAAAGAUGGUUUCGGCUAUCACUUCAGGAUGGGCCCGCGGUGCAUUAGCUAGUUGGUAAGGUAACGGCUUACCAAGGCGAUGAUGCAUAGCCGAGUUGAGAGACUGAUCGGCCACAAUGGAACUGAGACACGGUCCAUACUCCUACGGGAGGCAGCAGUA